rnacentral:misc_RNA from 1 species
AGAGAGUCCACUGAAUUAAGCCUAACGAUGUUACUUGACUUAGUUGGGUUGACUUCUGGUAAACAAACAUUGACAAGAAGUAUUAGACCAAAAACUCCAUCUUUCUGUUUCAAUUCCUCCAUUUUUUUUUCUUACUUAUGUGCGCAGAGAAAUAGAGAAUUGACAGGACAAACAAAUGUCAAACUGAAAAUAAGUUUACAAGCAGGAAAAACAAAGCAAUCGUCAAUAGAGCUUAACACAAAAGCAACUUCUUUUUUCCAUUCGUAAAAAAAGGUAAAGGUAAAUAACAGAACAUUGACUCUUAGCUACUCAUUGGAGUUUAACAAUCUGGAUUAGCUAAAAGUUCCACUUUUCAGAUACAAGUCCAGCUAAACAAUAUUAAAAAUCAUAAGAAAGAAAAAACCAGCAAUAAGAUUCAAAAUUUACAAACUUUAUCUGCACUACCACAGAACCCAGAAACACAAACCUAUCAAAGUAAUAAACGCAAAGGCACCAAAGGAAAAAUACCA